AGAUAAAAGAAAACUGAGGCCUGGAGGCUGUGACUUCACCAGAGUCAAAAAGGAAUACAAUGGAAUACUCUUGGGCCUCGAGAAGUGACACAGCCUGCGUGUGACAAGUUUCCUGAAACAUCAACCACUGGUUGAAAACCAAAGGCCAGAGACUGGAAGCAACCCGUUCAAGGUUACAGAGCCAGCAGCUAUCAAAGCUGAAGCUCCCACUCUAAGCUUCUGACUCUUAGGCCAGUGCCCCGCACAUCAGAAGUGCCAAAUUGCUGUCCCCCAGGACUUCAUGCACCUGCAAGACUACUGAAUGUGGCAAGAACCCCGUAAUUGGAAAAUGUUUAACAAAAUAAAU